rnacentral:rRNA from 1 species
GAUGAACGCUGGCGGCGUGCCUAAUACAUGCAAGUCGAGCGAACAGAUAAGGAGCUUGCUCCUUUGACGUUAGCGGCGGACGGGUGAGUAACACGUGGAUAACCUACCUAUAAGACUGGGAUAACUUCGGGAAACCGGAGCUAAUACCGGAUAACAUAUUGAACCGCAUGGUUCAAUAGUGAAAGGCGGCUUUGCUGUCACUUAUAGAUGGAUCCGCGCCGUAUUAGCUAGUUGGUAAGGUAACGGCUUACCAAGGCAACGAUACGUAGCCGACCUGAGAGGGUGAUCGGCCACACUGGAACUGAGACACGGUCCAGACUCCUACGGGAGGCAGCAGUAGGGAAUCUUCCGCAAUGGGCGAAAGCCUGACGGAGCAACGCCGCGUGAGUGAUGAAGGUCUUCGGAUCGUAAAACUCUGUUAUCAGGGAAGAACAAACGUGUAAGUAACUGUGCACAUCUUGACGGUACCUGAUCAGAAAGCCACGGCUAACUACGUG